ensembl:rRNA 5S_rRNA 5S ribosomal RNA
GCCUACGGCCAUACCACCCUGAGAACGCCCGAUCUCGUCUGAUCUCGGAAGCUAAGCAGGGUCGGGCCCGGUUAGUACUUGGAUGGGAGACUGCCUGGGAAUACCGGGUGCUGUAGGCU